AGGCGAGGACACAGUGAGAAGGCAGCUAUAUGCAAGCCAAGGAGAAAGGCCUCACAAUAAAUCAAAUCUGCCAUCAUCUUGAUCUUGAACUUACAGUCUCCAGAACGCCAUUGACCUGGAUGGACCUAGGACACACACUAAAGGACACAUCUGGGUGCGUACCAAUCAACAGUAAGAGGGGCCGGGUGUGGUGAUUCCUGGCUGUAAUCCCAGCUACUUGGGAGGCUGAGACAGGCGAAUCACUUGAACCCGGGAGGCGGAGGUUGCAGUGAGCCAAGAUCAUGCCAUUGCACUCCAGCCUGGGCAAAAGAGCAAGAUUUCUUCGUCUCAAACAACAACAACAACAACAACAACAA
rnacentral:lncRNA from 10 species